rnacentral:rRNA from 1 species
UAAGGGAUAUUGGUCAAUGGGGCGGGAGCCUGAACCAGCCAUGCCGCGUGAGGGAUUGAGGCCCUACGGGUCGUAAACCUCUUUUGCCGGGGGAUAACGGGCGCCACGCGUGGCGCCGUGAAGGUACCCAGAGAAUAAGCAUCGGCUAACUCCGUGCCAGCAGCCGCGGUAAUACGGAGGAUGCGAGCGUUAUCCGGAUUUAUGGGUUUAAAGGGAGCGCAGGCGGUCUUAUAAGCGUGACGUGAAAUGCAGCGGCUCAACCGUAUGAUGUGCGUCGCGAACUGUGAGACUUGAGUGUAUUCGAUGUCAGCGGAAUUUGUGGUGUAGCGGUGAAAUGCUUAGAUAUCACGAAGAACUCCGAUUGCGAAGGCAGCUGACAAGGCUACAACUGACGCUAAAG